AUUGAACGCUGGCGGCAUGCCUUACACAUGCAAGUCGAACGGUAACGCAGGGCAACAGGCCGCAAGGUGCUGACGAGUGGCGAACGGGUGAGUAAUGCAUCGGAACGUGCCCAGUCGUGGGGGAUAACGCAGCGAAAGCUGCGCUAAUACCGCAUACGAUCUAUGGAUGAAAGCGGGGGACCGUAAGGCCUCGCGCGAUUGGAGCGGCCGAUGUCAGAUUAGGUAGUUGGUGGGGUAAAGGCUCACCAAGCCAACGAUCUGUAGCUGGUCUGAGAGGACGACCAGCCACACUGGGACUGAGACACGGCCCAGACUCCUACGGGAGGCAGCAGUGGGAAAUUUUGGACAAUGGGCGCAAGCCUGAUCCAGCAAUGCCGCGUGCAGGAAGAAGGCCUUCGGGUUGUAAACUGCUUUUGUACGGAACGAAACGGUCCUGGUUAAUACCCGGGGCUAAUGACGGUACCGUAAGAAUAAGCACCGGCUAGCUACGUGCCAGCAGCCGCAGUAACAC
rnacentral:rRNA from 1 species